UUGCCCCUGUCCUGUCACUGCAGCCCCUCGCCCCAGGUCCUUCCCCAGCACUCCUGGAAGCUCCUUAGGUGCUGGGAGCAGCAUUAUUUAUCAAAAGCACAGAAAGAGGAAUUAUUAAUCUGCAGGCUGUAGAAACAGGACUGAGAGGUUCACAGGUGUUCAGGCCCCAUUGGAAGGUAACAGGCCUCAAUUAAGAUCAGCUGUGAGGAUGACUCAGGGACUUUUCUAACAGUUUUUCAGUCUAAAGUGGGUCUCUGGGUGGUGAGGUCUUCAGAACUGGCUCUGCUGAGUUGGACAAGCUUACCCAUUGCACUGGAUAUUAAAUUUGCUGGAUAGCAACAGUUCUGGAGUUCCUGCAACUGCUCUUCUGGACUUGGCUGGAGAAACUUCAGACUGACAAGGCUUGAAAAUGUGAGCAAAGAAGAUGAUGUCCACGUGGGAGCUCUGGGAGGUGUCCGUGCUGAACCAGCAUCCCAGGGGCACAACAGGCGGCGGCGACACUUCCAAAGGAAGAUUUGUCUCUCUGUGGGAAGCCGGGAUUUCAAGGAGCGAGAGACGUUCCUGUCCAGCGUGGUUCACCUCCCGCCCUCCCCGAGCACGGCGCGGGCGACUGCAAGGAAGGAUUCCUUUUUGCCCGUGCCCAGCCGGUGCCAGCCCAGCUGGCCGUGCUCCCUGCGGCCCGUCCGUGCAGAGGAGGGAGAGCGGCGGAGAUUUAUUAAGAGUGCAUUUCCUGACAGUGUUUGUCUGCAGUCUUUCCCUCCUUUGACUCCCAUGGCAGCGUCCGGGUUUCUUAUUUCCUCUUGUGUAGCUGUUUGCAUCCUAGGCAGGACCUGCCUCAUCUGGAAAUAAAGAUUAAAUAUUUUAA